rnacentral:lncRNA from 1 species
GAGAGAUGGCUCAGUGGGUAAGAGCACUGACUGCUCUCCUGAAGGUCCUGAGUUCAAAUCCCAGCAACCACAUGGUGGCUCACAACCACCCGUAACGAGAUCUGACUCUUGUCUUCCGGAGUGUCUAAAGACAGCUACAGUGUACUUACACAUAACAAAUUAAAAAAAAAUCUUUAAAAGAAAAUGAUUCAGGAAAUAUGAAUUAGAUAUACAAUAAAGCUGAGAAUCACACUUGUAUUGUGGAACUAACAAAUGUCUCAAGACUUGAUGGUACUGAUGACUUGGAGACUAGGAGCAAUUACAUUGCCACCCUUUGGCCAGGACUCUCUUCCCUUGAGGUGAAAAGUACCACAGCUGCCCCGGGGAGGACAGUGCACAGUGAAAGGGAAAGUACUUACUGAGUACCGAGACCUUUCUUUCUAGGUCUUUGCUUACCCAAGUUCCUCAAGGUUAGGACUCAAACCAUUCACCAUAAAACAAUGUUUUACUAUUAAAAUUGUUCUCUGAGAAUUCCAUACAUGUAUCAAAUGUCUUCUUAUUCUCAUGACCCAAUCUUUUCUCUUUCUCUCCCUCCCAUCUACCUCUUCAAUUCCUUACCAGUCUCUUUCUCACAUUCAAAUCUUUUUGUUUUGUGUUGUGUUGUGUUGUGUUGUUACCCACUGACCUGCAUAAGGGACAUUGGAGGAACAUAAGUUUGGAACUGCCCUUCAGAGGUUGGUGGGCUCACCAGUGGUACACAUGGGGAGAUAAGGACUCCCCAUCCACCAGGGUUCAUCAAUAGUAGCCAAUAGCUCAGCCGGAAUGAGCUCCUCCCUGUCCAUAACUGGCUGUUAAUGAUUUUUUUUAUUAGAUAUUUUCUUCAUUUACAUUUCAAAUGAUAUCCCGAAAGUUCCCUAUACCCUCCCCCCGCCCUGCUCCCCAACCCCCCCACUCCCACUUCUUGGCCCUGGUGUUCCCCUGUACUGGGGCAUAUAAAGUUUGCAAAACCAAGGGACCUCUCUUCCCAAUGAUGACUGACUAGGCCAUCUUCUGCUCCAUAUGCAGCUAGAGACAUGAGCUCUGGGGGUACUGGUUAGUUCAUAUUGUUGUUCCACCUAUAGGGUUGCACACCCCUUCAGCUCCUUGGGUACUUUCUCUAGCUUCUCCAUUGGGGGGCCCUGUAUGUUCCAUCUUAUAGAUGACUGUGAGCAUCCACUUCUGUAUUUGCCAGACACUGGCAUAGCCUCAUAUGGGACAACUAUACCAGGGUCCCUUCAGCAAAAUCUUGCUUGCAUAUGCAAUAGUGUCUGGGUUUGGUGGCUGAUUAUGGGAUGGAUCCCCAGGUGGGGUAGUCUCUGAAUAGUCCAUCCUUUAGUCUUAGCUCCAAACUUUGUCUCUGUAACUCCUUUCAUGGGUAUUUUGUUCCCUAUUCUAAGGAGGAACGAAGUAUCCACCCAUUGGUCUUGAUCUUCUUGAUUUUCUUGUGUUUUGCAAAUUGCAUCUUGGGUGUUCUAUAUUUCUGGGCUAAUAUCCACUUAUCAGUGAGUGCAUAUCUAAUUAUUUAAAACUGGGCUUAGAUGUGCAAGAAUUUUUAGGGGGAUUUUCAAAAGAGAGGACACACCAAAUGUACAAGCCCUUUCGCAGCCAAAAAAUUGGCCAACACCAAAUCCAGACACUAUUGCAGAUGCCAAGAAGUGCUUGCUGACAGGAGCCUGAUACAGUUGUCUCCUAAGAGGCUCUGCCAGAUCCUGAUAAUACAGAUGUGGAUGCUCACAGCCAACCAUAGAAUUGAGCACAGGGACUCCAAUGGAGGAGUUAGGGGAAGGACUGAUGAAGCUGAAGGGGCCUUAUCUGGCAUCAGCGGGAGAGGAGGCCCUUGAUCCUGUGAAAACUUGAUGCCCUACCAUAGAGAAAUGCUAGAGUAGUGAGGUGGAAGUGGGUGGGUGGGUAGGGGAAGCAUCCUCAUAAAAGCAGGGUAAGGGGGGAUGGGAUAGGGGGUUUCCAAAGGGGAAACCAGGAAAGGGGAUAACAUUUGGAAUGUCAAUAAAUAAAAUAUCUAAUUAAAAAAAUUGACUGAAUUAAAAAAAAAAACACAUUGUUUUCUCUGCAAACAAAGAGAAAUCUGAAGUUCAGUAACAAAGACCUAAAGAUACUGCUUGCCAGCGCCUAGGGUUGAUGAUGAAAAGCACAUUGCCACAUCAGUGUCUCCUCUUCUGUUGAUUGGUGCUGGGGAUGGCUCUAGGCCUACCCCAGCUAACUUCCCCAAUAAACUCCAGUUCCGGGGAAUCUGACUCUUUUCUAACUUGGCAGGCACCAGGUGUUACACAAGGUAUAUAUACAUCCAUGCAGGCAAAAUACUCUUCACAUAAAUAGAAAAUAUUCUUAAAAUGUUUAUAAUUUUUCCCAAUACUGAACAUGUACAGGUCUUUUUGUUAUUCCUUGAUAUUAGUGUUAUAACAACUAAUUAGGUAGCAUUACACAGUACUAGGUGUCAUCUGGAUGGAGGUUUGGAGCUAGAUGGGUAGGUUGCAUACAGGUACUGUUGUGUCAUUUAAGAGGAUCCUGAAAUAAGUGCUCGAUAUGUUAGUGUUCUAGAUUCUUCUGCUGGGAUAAAUACUCUAGUGAGAGGAGUUUAAGGGAAGAGCGUUAUUCUGACUUGCUGUUGAAGAGUUCAGUCCAUCACAGUAGGGAAGUCGGGACAGCAGGGACUUGAAGGAAGCUUGUGAGCGAGCAUAGGAGGUCCACAUGAGUCAGGGAGCUGAGAGCUUGGAUGUGUGCUGCUGCUAAGCACCCAAAGUAACCCAAGUUACUUUGCUGUGUGUUUUGUCACAACAAAGGGAGGAGUAAUGAAGGCAGUGUCAGACGCACACCAGCGGACCAAAGCUCGUUGAGGAAACAGCAGCUUUUAGAUGUAAUGAUGUCGUCUCCAAUAAACAGUGAUCCAACCUGAAGACCUUUUACCUUAUGGUGGAUUCAGAAUGAUGCGAUCCCAUUGUAAAUGGGAGACCUAGAUAGUAGCAAGUCCCUGAGAAAAGUAGAGAUAGACAAUCGAAUGAUGUCCCAGAAAAUAGAGCAAAAGAAUGAAUUAGAGGGGCUGCUGAGAUGGCUCAGACAGAGUACGGACUGUUCUUCGUAAGGUUCAAAGUUCAAAUCCCAGCAGCCACAUGGUGGCUCACAAGUACCUGUAAUGAGAUCUAAUGCCCUCUUCUGCUUCUGGAAUGAAAGAAAUUUGAAAAUUAGGUUAUUUUUAAGUAAUAUUUCUAGAGCAUAGAU